AGCGAACGCUGGCGGCAGGCUUAACACAUGCAAGUCGAGCGGGCAUCCUUGUGGUGUCAGCGGCAGACGGGUGAGUAACGCGUGGGAACGUGCCCUUCGGUUCGGAAUAACUCAGGGAAACUUGAGCUAAUACCGGAUACGUGCGAGAGCAGAAAGGUUUAUCUGCCGAAGGAUCGGCCCGCGUCUGAUUAGCUAGUUGGUGAGGUUACGGCUCACCAAGGCGACGAUCAGUAGCUGGUCUGAGAGGAUGAUCAGCCACACUGGGACUGAGACACAGCCCAGACUCCUACGGGAAGCAGCAGUGGGGAAUAUUGGACAAUGGGGGCAACCCUGAUCCAGCCAUGCCGCGUGAGUGAUGACGGCCUUAGGGUUGUAAAGCUCUUUUCUCCGGGACGAUAAUGACGGUACCGGAGGAAUAAGCCCCGGCUAACUUCGCG
rnacentral:rRNA from 1 species